ensembl:lncRNA
CAUUUUCUUUUCCAGAGGAUCUUCCCAACCCAGGGUUCAAACAUGCACCUCCUGUUUGGCAGAAUGAAAAAUUCCUUGAUUGCUACUGAUUGACUUACAAAAGAAUAAGGUUCUCAAUGAGUUUUCAGAAGAAAUUCAACUCUUUUGCUUGCACACAUGAUAGGUUGAGUCAGUCGGAACUCACUGGACCCAGGAAGGUGAGAAAAGCAAGCAAACAAACAAAAAAGCAAAUGCAGUGUUCAGGUACUGAAACUGAUACUCAGAGAAGCGACGUUCUCAAAAUCACACACAGAAAGUGGCAAAGCCAGAUGUUGACUUCAGGCCAAGUCUGCCUGAUUCUAAAAUCUGUGCCCCCUCACCCACAAAGACAGUGUCCAGGUGGUCAGGGUGAAGGCCCUUGACUGAGCAGUCCUGUGCCGCAGGCAAGUCCGGGGAAUAUGUUUAAGAACCAAAGCACUCAUAUGAAGAAUGCACUCAGAGAAUAAAAGGGCUGUAAGUUACCAAC